rnacentral:sRNA from 1 species
UGAAGGCCGCUUCCGGCUCUGGUAGUGUAGGGGCUUCGGCACGUGUGUCAUUCCCCGGGAUUUCUGUAGUAACCCUGCUUCUGGUGAACUUGUCUGGCCGGCAUUCAUUUAAGGCCUAAGGAUGAAAGCGAGAAGAAAUAAAAAACAGAUCCCAAGCUUUCGCAAGUUAAUAAAAACUAGUAAAGUCAAACUUGAAAACAAGCUAAAAAAUAAGCAGUUUAAACAACAAAGCACUCUCAAGAAGUACCGAAAAGAACAGAGGAAACUAAGGCAAGCUGUGAAAGAUGCUGUGUCUAAGAAACCCAUUCCAUUGGAGAACCCAAAGGAAAAGCGACCAGAUCUUCCUAGAGUGGGUAAGGAUAGUAGUCCUAUAGGACUGCUAUAAAGCAUAUAUGCUUUAUCACAGUCAGUAUGAGAAAACGUUUCAAUACAGUAUUCAUUCAAGCUUGUGCUUUUAGUUUGUCUGGAAAGCAGAUCUGAAGAUGCACUACUUGGGAAAACAAACUGAAAGUACUCAGUUACAUAAAUAUUGGGCAGUGUGCCAGUGCUGCCACUUUCCCAUUCACCAGCAGUUAG